rnacentral:misc_RNA from 1 species
GAUGAAGAACGCAGCGAAAUGCGAUAAGUAAUGUGAAUUGCAGAAUUCAGUGAAUCAUCGAAUCUUUGAACGCACAUUACGCCCCCUGGUAUUCCGGGGGGCAUGCCUGUCCGAGCGUCAUUACAACCCUCAAGCUCAGCUUGGUGUUGGGCCCCGCCGCCCCGGCGGGCCCUAAAGUCAGUGGCGGUGCCGUCCGGCUCCGAGCGUAGUAAUUCUUCUCGCUCUGGAGGUCCGGUCGUGUGCUCGCCAGCAACCCCCAAUUUUUUUCAGGUUGACCUCGGAUCAGGUAGGGAUACCCGCUGAACUUAAGCAUAUCAAUAAGCGGAGGA